UUCCGGGUGUAAGCGUUUAUGAGCGGACUGAAAAUCCGCGUGUCGGUGGUUCGAAUCCGCCUCUGGGCACCA
rnacentral:tRNA from 2 species